CGUAAUAAAUGCAUGAUUGACGGAAUAUGUUUACACGUUCCCGCUCUAAAUGAUUUUCGAGUGAUUAUCGACAUCACGUCGAUCGAGCGACAAAAAGUGCUACAAAAGUGAUGGAAUCCAACCCCGUCUUGCCCCCCACAGGCAGCACGGCCUAAAGUUUCAGCCAUAAUUUUACAUGAUUACUUGUACUGAGCGAAAUGGCAUCACUGCAGCGAUUGUAUUUCUUCUCUUUCCCACUAGACUGUCAUCCAAAAUAAAAGCGAGCGAAUGGAUGAUGUUGUCUUGUAUUCUUCAAAACACGGAAACCAUGUCUGCAUGUUUCUUCAGCUGCGAACCUGCGAUCGUCUUCAAACACAAUGGCUAAAAUGGCUAAAAACGCUGCAUGGGAAAAUCAUAAUGGACACUUACACGAUUUCUUCUAAUCGACACGUAUUGAACAGCAGAGUAUUGAAACGAGUGAUUCAAGUUUAUUGGAGCGAUGGUGGAGUUCCUGGAGUUCAUAAUUGGUUAUGAGGAUGAUGGUGAUAUACUGUUGUGCUGAUUUCCAGUGAAGGAAGAGACAGACGUAAAUAAAGUUUCAGUGGAUGAGUUGAAUUUGGUGCACAGCGAGAAAAGGGAUGCGGCUAGUGUAUUGCUUGGAAACAACAAUCUGAAGGAAAAUCCACCAGCAAAACGAAUGCAAUAACAUUAAACAGAAAUCAUCGUAGCGCAAUUCUCCU